rnacentral:lncRNA from 1 species
GAAAGGGAGGGGAAAAGAAGACAAAAAUCAAUUCCAAUUGAUCAAAUUUGAAUCAAAUCAAUAUGGAUCAACACCAAAUAGAUGAAAAAUGAAAAUAACAAGUCAAGAAGUCAACAAUAUUUUUUUGGUACUUUUUGAAUUAAAAUAAAAUACAAUAAAAAAUAACAAAUAAAGUGAACCUUAAAUUCAAUUCAAAACAAC